AUUGAACGCUGGCGGCAGGCCUAACACAUGCAAGUCGAACGAGUGGCGGACGGGUGAGUAAUGUCUGGGAAACUGCCUGAUGGAGGGGGAUAACUACUGGAAACGGUAGCUACUACCGCCUACUAUCGUGUGUACCCAGGGGGGAUUAGCUAGUAGGUGGGGAAGAGGCUCCCCUAGGACACGAUCCCUAGCUGGUCUGAGAGGAUGACCAGCCACACUGGAACUGAGACACGGUCCAGACUCCUACGGGAGGCAGCAGUGGGGAAUAUUGCACAAUGGGCGCAAGCCUGAUGCAGCCAUGCCGCGUGUAUGAAGAAGGCCUUCGGGUUGUAAAGUACUUUCAGCGGGGAGGCGUUACCCGCAGAAGAAGCACCGGCUAACUCCGUGCCAGCAGCCGCGGUAAUAC
rnacentral:rRNA from 1 species